rnacentral:lncRNA from 1 species
GAAAGGACAGUGACUGUGAUAGAGGAUGUCACAAUUCAGAUUACCACAUUUUUCCUGACACGCCAACAGACCCGCCGUAUACACGAAAAUUUUUCAUGUAUACGAAGCGAUAGCUAUACAUGUAAAUGGAAUAUAGCUACACAAGAGGUAAAGAGUUGCUAUAAUAAAUAUGUAUAUAUAAAACAUAAAGGGUCCACUGUAUAUACAGAAACCACGGAACCAACUCGCUCCAGCGAAUACAACAAUAUAACAGUAUGUACAUAAAAUCUCAAAACUACCUCUGAUGGGUGCCCCUCUAGCAAAAGACCAGGGAUGGAAGGGAUCUAACCAGCGACUCUCUUACGACGGUCGCAAUCAGCAACAGCAGCAGCCGUAGGCGAAGGCUCUGCAAAAACAUAGCAACAAUUAGGUGUGAGAACUACUGCCAACCAGAGUAGUCCUUAGUGAGUACCGUCACCGACUCCAACCGCCUACCUACUAAGUCUACAGUAAAGUAUGCAAAGGAUAGUAAGAAAAGCUGAAAAGAAUUCUACAACUACAUGUAACUAUACUAUUGCUAACAAACACAUGCUAUCUGUAGACAUAGACAUGCAUCACACUGACCCAAUCUCACAAGGGCUGCCCAAACGAACCCAC